rnacentral:rRNA from 1 species
AUACGGAGGGUGCAAGCGUUGUUCGGAAUUACUGGGCGUAAAGCGCGCGUAGGCGGUUCGUAUAGUCAGGCGUGAAAGCCCCGGGCUCAACCUGGGAACUGCGUUUGAUACUGACGAGCUAGAGUCCGGGAGAGGGUAGCGGAAUUCCCAGUGUAGAGGUGAAAUUCGUAGAUAUUGGGAAGAACACCAGUUGCGAAGGCGGCCACCUGGACCGGUACUGACGCUGAGGUGCGAAAGCGUGGGGAGCAAACAGGAUUAGAAACCCCAGUAGUCC